UACGAAGGGGGUUAGCGUUGCUCGGAAUCACUGGGCGUAAAGGGUGCGUAGGCGGGUCUUUAAGUCAGGGGUGAAAUCCUGGAGCUCAACUCCAGAACUGCCUUUGAUACUGAAGAUCUUGAGUUCGGGAGAGGUGAGUGGAACUGCGAGUGUAGAGGUGAAAUUCGUAGAUAUUCGCAAGAACACCAGUGGCGAAGGCGGCUCACUGGCCCGAUACUGACGCUGAUGCACGAAAGCGUGGGGAGCAAACAGG
rnacentral:rRNA from 1 species